rnacentral:rRNA from 1 species
UUUAAUUGGAGAGUUUGAUCCUGGCUCAGGACGAACGCUGGCGGCGUGCCUAACACAUGCAAGUCGAGCGGGGUUAAAGUUUUACACUGAGUAUUUAAAGAGUUAUUCAGCCAGCGCAGAUGCACAAAUAACCUUGACUUAAUAAUCUUUCAAAAAAAGAUUUGUGCAUUACGCGUUUUAAAGCGUGAAUAACACUGACGCAAACAAGCAGUCGGAUUUGAGUACUGAGUGUAAAACUUUAACCUAGCGGCGGACGGGUGAGUAACGCGUGAGCAAUCUGCCUCAUACAGGGGGAUAACAGCUGGAAACAGCUGCUAAUACCGCAUAAGACCACGCUAU